UACGUAGGGUGCAAGCGUUGUCCGGAAUUAUUGGGCGUAAAGAGCUUGUAGGCGGUUUGUCGCGUCUGCUGUGAAAUUUCGGGGCUCAACCCCGAACUUGCAGUGGAUACGGGCAGGCUAGAGUUCGGUAGGGGAGACUGGAAUUCCUGGUGUAGCGGUGAAAUGCGCAGAUAUCAGGAGGAACACCGGUGGCGAAGGCGGGUCUCUGGGCCGAUACUGACGCUGAGGAGCGAAAGCGUGGGGAGCGAACAGG
rnacentral:rRNA from 1 species